AGGAUCCCUGAGGCCCCGGCCUGGCCCAGCUACCUGAAGGAGCUUUUUGUCUGACCCAGGCGCGCCGGGAGCGCAUUCUUUCACAUUAAGAACCGCAGGGGAAGACAUUCAUUCACUCCCUUUUUUUGGUGACGUAGCUGGGGCAUUCAUGUGUUUUUAACCUUGAAUAAUUUUUGUCUCUAAGCUCCAAACAAGUUUUAUCCUGUCCACAGGUCAGUUUUGUUACAGAGGCCAAUUAGCAGUGCUACCUUCGCCUGCGGCAAAAAGCCAAGUAAUGGCGGGGCAAGCCCUACGGAGAGGUGAUGAAUAAGUCCCGAGAGCUGUAAUUUGAAAGGGGGGCCUUUGAAGCAUUUACCUUACAUGGGACGCUAUUGUCACUGCAGGGUGUUUGAUCUUAAAAUAAUUUACUUAAUGAUCUCACCAUGGGAGCGAUUGGCAGAGCAAGAUUAGGCUGUAAGGCCUAAUGGACAUGGGAAAAGUUAAAAGUGCUCGGAGAAAGUAUUUUAGAACACAGAGUUGAAUCUAUUCACAUCUAUCAUCUCCUGAUGAUUUCAACCAGUGUAUGACCUCCGGCAAAGGACAUGACUCCAUCCAGAUCAUGCACUCAGCUUGGUAAAGCGUGGGAAGAACAGAUGAACCCAGCGUCGGUGGCUGUGUAGGCAAAUCUUUUUGCAUAUUAAGGAAGGAAAUCGGAAGCUGAAUUGGACAUGGCCACAAGAACGCAGGCCUGAAUCGCAUUAUGUUCCAGGAACCUUGAACUUCGCAUCAUAAUGACCUGGGGCCUAACAGAAGCAAAUUGCAAGUGGUUUCAAAAGGAUAAACUCCAAUUUAUAUUAAACUAGUAUUAUAACUUAAGCAGCUCGUUUUGAAAGCAACACGAAAAACCUCAUCAUUCAUGUGAUGGCUCCUUAAAUGCAUCCUUUUGCAUUUUACCUGUAAAAUGCUCUGUGUUUGCUGACAGGUUAAAUGUAUACUAUACACAGAGAGCCAACACUUCUCUUUGUACCACCGCGGCAAUCUCACUGGUUUUAGCCGCAUUCUUUAUUAUUUUAAGCUGUCGCCAUUGUCUUCUAAACACCAUAAUUAGAAGCUGAAAAGCUUACAGCAACCAAACCCAAUAAGGUUUCAUUAUGAACAAAAUAUUCUACUGUGGCUCAACAAGUGACCCUGUGUAGUCUAACAUGAUGAAGGCUUCAACCUUCCUGCCCAAUUAUAGCUUUGGGAAUGUAUAAAGUUUUCCCUUUCAGUAUUAUUUAGCAACUCUAUUCAAGCUUUAGUUUCUUGGUCAUAUUUCUUUACUUACUGGUCUCUUUGUUUCAUUUUGUGCAACUGUCAUUUUCCUACAGCCGUGGUAAAGAAAACCUGUCCCCUGGAAGCAGUUCAGAGUUUCUCUUAUCGGGGAUGUGGUGUUUUACAAAUAAGUUGAGAGAGGGAGUCAGUGAGCAGGGAGCUGAAAUCAUUAAGCCCCUUGACUAGAGAGAGAAUAGAGGGAGGUGAUUUUAGGGCCCAAGAAAAUACUGCCCGCACCAGAUCAGUGACUUUUUAAUGUGAUGCUUGGUAUCUUUUUUCCAUUUGAUUCAAGUCUUCUUCUUCUUUUUUUUAAUGUUUAUUUAUUUUAGACAGAGAGACAGACACAGAGUGUAAGCUGGGGAGGAG